CUAAUUUUGAUAUACUCUUGCGUAAUAAAUCCUGAAAUAAAGAAUGUAUGUUCUAUAGGUUAUAUUUAUUCAUUUCACAAGAAGAUAAUAGAAGCAUGCAAAAUUUAUGUUUAAUAUAAAAACGAAGUUGAAAUUGAUCUUGAAAUGGAAUAUCACAAGACGAGGAUUUCGAGUUUGCGGAGGAGUCACGAGUAGCGGCGAGGCCCGAAACACUUACAAUUGCUUCGAAUCCACGUGUAACGAAAGAUUCGAAUCACUUCGAAUAUGAUUCGAAGCCUGGAUUCUUGAAAGUCUCGAACUCGUGAUUAGUCACGAGUUACCCAAUGCAAGAAAAAAACAGACGCGUCGCGUAUUAUAUUUAAUACCGAGCUAUUAUUAAAGGAUUCAAAGAACGGUUUACCUCUUGGCGAUAGACAACGUUGGGUACAGCGAUAACGAGAGAAUCUUGCGAAAUACAUAUAUAAGUACUUGUCAGAUAGAUGAUAACGAAAUAUGAAAUUUGUUGUUUCGUGGCUGGCAUAUUGAGAACGUAGUUGAGCAAGGGAAACGAGUAAUAUGGAUAAAGAAUAA